rnacentral:rRNA from 1 species
UACGGAGGGUGCAAGCGUUAUCCGGAUUCACUGGGUUUAAAGGGUGCGUAGGCGGGCAUGUAAGUCCGUGGUGAAAUCUCCGAGCUUAACUCGGAAACUGCCAUGGAUACUAUGUGUCUUGAAUGUUGUGGAGGUGAGCGGAAUAUGUCAUGUAGCGGUGAAAUGCUUAGAUAUGACAUAGAACACCAAUUGCGAAGGCAGCUCACUACACAAAUAUUGACGCUGAGGCACGAAAGCGUGGGGAGCAAACAGG